AUCCGCUUGGCAUCUUUCUUGG
rnacentral:miRNA from 1 species